GACGAACGCUGGCGGCGUGCCUAAUACAUGCAAGUUGAGCGCUGAAGGUUGGUACUUGUACCGACUGGAUGAGCAGCGAACGGGUGAGUAACGCGUGGGGAAUCUGCCUUUGAGCGGGGGACAACAUUUGGAAACGAAUGCUAAUACCGCAUAAAAACUUUAAACACAAGUUUUAAGUUUGAAAGAUGCAAUUGCAUCACUCAAAGAUGAUCCCGCGUUGUAUUAGCUAGUUGGUGAGGUAAAGGCUCACCAAGGCGAUGAUACAUAGCCGACCUGAGAGGGUGAUCGGCCACAAUGGGACUGAGACACGGCCCAAACUCCUACGGGAGGCAGCAGUAGGGAAUCUUCGGCAAUGGACGAAAGUCUGACCGAGCAACGCCGCGUGAGUGAAGAAGGGUUUCGGAUCGUAAAACUCUGUUGGUAGAGAAGAACGUUGGUGAGAGUGGAAAGCUCAUCAAGUGACGGUAACUACCCAGAAAGGGACGGCUAACUACGUG
rnacentral:rRNA from 1 species